rnacentral:lncRNA from 1 species
AUGCCCUAGCUAUGAUGUCCAUAAACCGAAAUUUACUUCAUGAUGGGAUCAAUGAUUUCGAGGAAAAAGUUAUGGAAAAAUUUAUUGCUAUGAAAGACCGUAGAGCCGAUUUUAAUUUUAAAAAGUAAUUGUAAUGUAUUAAUUAUUAUGAACGCAAUGUCGUAGUGUAUUUCUUGAAUAGAACUAUUAAACUAUUAUAAAUCAAAUUUGUUUGUAUUUGAAAAUUUAAAUAUGUAGUAGGUACCUAGUUCCUGUAAGUUGUACCUAACUAUUUUAUUUUGACCAGAGCCGAAAGUCGGUAAGGUUGGUUUUUCCCAUAAUUUGAGAAAUUUGCCGACCAGCCCAUCGUAAAAAUUAUUGCCCCUAUUUGAGUAUUGCCCUUCAUUGCGUUUACCUGCGUAACGCCAAUUUAAUGUUUUCUACGAACUUGAAACCGUUUGCCGCGUCAAAAGCUUUGCCGUCAUAUUUGCCCAUCUGCGUAUAUAAACCUACAAUAGUUCUCAGCAAACAUUCUAGGGAAAAAA